GCACGAUCUUGGCUCACUGCAACCUCUGCCUCCCAAGUUCAAGCGAUUCUCCUGUAUCCUCAGCCUCCCGAGUAGCUGGGACCACAGGCGCGCGUCACUACACCUGGCUAAUUUUUGUAUUUUUAGUAGAGAUGGGGUUUCACCAUAUUGACCAGGCUGGUCUCAAACUCCUGACCUCGUGAUCCACGCUCCUUGGCCUCCCAAAGUGUUGGGAUUACAGGCGUGAGCCACUGCGCCUGGCCAACAGUGUUUUUGCUAUGCCUUUUCUAUGUUUAGAUACACAAAUACUUCCCAUUGUGUUACACUUGCCUACAGUAUUCCGUGCAGUCACAUGCUGUCUAGGUUUGUAGCCUGGGCAAGAGGCUAAACCACAUAGCCUAGGGGUGUAGGAGGCCACACCAUCCAGGUCUGUGUAAGCACGCGCUCUGAUGUUCACACAAUGACAAAAUCAUCUGACGAUGCAUUUCUCAGAACAUAUUCCCAUCAUUAAGUGACGCAUGACUGCAGAAAACUGGGGGAAGAAACCUGAAAACUCGUCAGCCUGCAGCACAGUGAGAUAAAGAAAUGGAAACACAUAUGAGAAAUUAAGAGACAGAGAGAACAAGAUGAGGUGCUUAAAUAGGCACCUCAUAGAAGUUCUAGAAAGAGAACAGUGAGACUCUGGAAUAGUCAAUAUUUGUAGAGGUAAUGCCUGAAGUUUUUCCAGAAUUGAAGGACAUACAUGGUGUGGUUUUAAAAUAUCCUCAAGUCCUAGACAGGAUAACUAGAAACCAAUUCCUGUGAAGACAGCGUAACAAACUGCAAAACACAAGGAUAAGGAGAAAAAUGUGAAAGCUACCCGGGAAGACAGGAUAACUAGAAACCAAUUCCUGUGAAGACAGCAUAACAAACUGCAAAACACAAGGAUAAGGAGAAAAAUGUGAAAGCUACCCGGGAUUAAAAAUCACCAAAAACAACAGAUACAAGAUGAAGGGUAUACAGUGAGAUGGUGGUACCCACCUCAUCAGUAAGGCCGAAUGUCGGCGUGCAGGGAAAUUAUAUCCACAAUCCUUACAUUGUUCUGAUCCAAGGACAGACAGACUUCACAGAGCAGGAGAGAUAACCUGGAAAGAGAGAAACGAAGUGAAUAUUCGACAAAAAAUGGAUCACAAACCAGGACGACUUGGAGGAUUAGACAGGAAAAUGGACGGAGGCCACCAGAGCACUUCUCUGAUGGCAGAAAACACGAGUUUCCUGUGUCCUGGGCCAACCAGCCACAACCAGAGAUGAAAGAGACCAGAGAACGUCCCACAGCCUCCUGGGCCAGAGAGGACCGGGCAAGUAGACCUCAGCAUUUAUUUAUGGAGCUAAUUUUGUGUGUAUUGCUCCUAUUUCCGUCUGUAGAUAAAAAGCAGAGAUAAUCAGCUUGGCUCAGAACAUGGAUACUCUGGGAGCCCCACCCGCGGACCACUUUAAAGCAGAAGGAUCCCACAGGGAACGGUUCUGAAUUGGGGCCGAGGAAUUCCACUCCACCACAAGCUACACAAACCCCCUCUUCCCGCUGUGUCUUCCUCCAGCCGAUUUGUGGAGGGGAUAUUUAUAGGAUUUCCACCAUUUAUGGAAGGCAUUUUUGAAAGGAAAAAUCAGGCGGGGGCUUUUUCCUAGUAAAAGCUUAUGGUCGUCAUCAUUUGCUCUCAUUAGCCCCAAAUCCUCUUCGCUGCAGUGUCAAAGCCCUCCUCCAUUCUUUGCUUCACCACAUUUUUAUUCACUAACUCCUUCCCUAAGUUCCGCCGUCCCAGAGGCAAUUUGUAAUUAAUAAUGAAAACCCCACCUCCCAAGCUGUACUGGAGAGGGGAGCAUCUCACUAGCACGCAUCUCUCCAGCAAAUAGUGUUUCUUGGGCAGUGUUCUUAAGACUUCAUCAAGUGUAUCCCUACACAGAACAGACAGGCUGCCAGGUCACAUCUGGGGACAAUUGGGGGUUUGGAAAUGUAUCAUAUUUUUUCUCAUGAAGUUUUCUCACCUGUCUUUGGAGCUGCCAUCAUUAACAUUAGGGCAAAAAUUAAAAUAAAAAAUAAUACAUGGUAAAACCAGUGGAGUAGUAGCUGAUAAAACAAGCACAGUAACUAAAAAGAAAGUAAUUUUGAGCUGAUUGAAGAGAGAAUAGUUUAUUCCCCCUCCCAGAAAUAACUGCUACCUCUUCAAACCUGACAUUAAAAUACCAGAGAGAAACAGAUUACCUACUAUGUUUUGAAAUUUAAAGUUAACUUUAUUAUUUUAAGAAUUUUAGAACAGUGUUUUUUCUUCUCAUAACAAUCAGAUAUCAGCUUCCUCUAAAAGUUUUUGAAAGUCUCCUCACACUAAUUGUACUGCCUUUUUCAAUUAAAAAUACUUCAAGGAAUGUGAAAUGAUUAGUCAAUUCAAACAUUCUCUAUUCAGUGCUACGAUGAAGGCUUUAAGUAUUGACGAAAACAUGCCCCAUGUAGGACAACCAAAUCAUCUUUCAGGCGUUGGAUCAGGACCAAUAACUUGAGAAAUAAAUAUGUUGAUUCUUCCACAAAUCUUAAAGUCUGAUCUGUGUUAUCUUUGUUGCAAUUAUAAAAAUAAAAUAAAAAGUGCUUCAAAUAUAUACUAGCCUUGCUAUUUGAAACAGACGAGAAAAAACAGGGCUUCAAAUAUAUGGUAUUCUUGCUAUUUGAAACGGAAAUCUGAAAGAAUGAAGAAGGA
rnacentral:lncRNA from 1 species